rnacentral:rRNA from 1 species
GUCGAGCGGACCGAAGGGAGCUUGCUCCUUUAGGUUAGCGGCGGACGGGUGAGUAACACGUGGGCAACCUGCCCUGCAGACUGGGAUAACUUCGGGAAACCGGAGCUAAUACCGGAUAACACCGAAAACCGCAUGGUCUUCGGUCGAAAGGCGGCAUUAGCUGUCACUGCAGGAUGGGCCCGCGGCGCAUUAGCUAGUUGGUGAGGUAACGGCUCACCAAGGCGACGAUGCGUAGCCGACCUGAGAGGGUGACCGGCCACACUGGGACUGAGACACGGCCCAGACUCCUACGGGAGGCAGCAGUAGGGAAUCUUCCGCAAUGGACGAAAGUCUGACGGAGCAACGCCGCGUGAGCGAAGAAGGUCUUCGGAUCGUAAAGCUCUGUUGUCAGGGAAGAACAAGUGCCGUUCGAACAGGGCGGUACCUUGACGGUACCUGACGAGGAAGCCACGGCUAACUACGUGCCAGCAGCCGCGGUAAU